AACAGCUGCAUGCGUUCCUGACGUGAUGCUGCACUUGUGGAGGUUGGCGUGCUUCUGCUUGGACAUGGUGGUGGCGAGGAUACCGAGGGCCCACAGAUGACCUUCAAGCGUCGCAAUCCAUGCAAGAUGCAUGCCAAAGAGAGAGAACACUCUGAAAGAGAGCGAAGAGCUGCAGAGAAGCCUGCCAAAUGACCACCAUAUAUGCCACCCAUUCCAAAAAGGCCUCAACAAUGCAAGAACCUGACAAGCAGACAACUGUGAGAAAAACUAGAGAUAGGCGAGGCUCAUAAAAAAGAAGUGCCUCUACACAAAAUUACGAGAGGUCAUGGGAAAAGCAAGUGAAGCAGACAGGGACUCACAUGUAGAUUCAGGAGGGCCAUGUGACCUGGAAUGACUCAAGAGGGAAUCU